rnacentral:tRNA from 3 species
GGCUUGCGUACGGUAGAGGACUAACCGGCCAUCGCAGUGAUUGCGACGGCGUGGUCAAAACAGACUAACCAUGUCGGGCCACCGCGAAUUCGAAUCUCGCCCAAGCCACCA